UACGUAGGGGGCAAGCGUUGUCCGGAAUCAUUGGGCGUAAAGCGCGUGUAGGCGGCCCGGUAAGUCCGCUGUGAAAGUCGGGGGCUCAACCCUCGAAUGCCGGUGGAUACUGUCGGGCUAGAGUGCGGGAGAGGCGAGCGGAAUUCCUGGUGUAGCGGUGAAAUGCGCAGAUAUCAGGAGGAACACCAAUUGCGAAGGCAGCUCGCUGGAACGUAACUGACGCUGAAACGCGAAAGCGUGGGGAGCAAACAGG
rnacentral:rRNA from 1 species